UACGUAGGGGGCAAGCGUUGUCCGGAUUCAUUGGGCGUGAAGAGCGUGUAGGCGGCCAGGUAGGUCGGUUGUGAAAACUCGAGGCUUAACCUCGAGAUGUCAUCGGAAACCAUCUGGCUAGAGUCCGGAAGAGGAGAGUGGAAUUCCUGGUGUAGCGGUGAAAUGCGCAGAUAUCAGGAAGAACACCAAUGGCGAAAGCAGCUCUCUGGGACGGUACUGACGCUGAGACGCGAAAGCGUGGGGAGCGAACAGG
rnacentral:rRNA from 1 species